AUCUAAAAAGUUUAUUUAAAAAAUUGAUUUGUGGUGUCAACGAUAUGAGUUAGUCAUCUUAGAUC